rnacentral:tmRNA from 1 species
GGGGUUGUUUAGAUUCGACAGGAUGUACUUUCAAAAUAUGCAAGCCGACCUGGAUGGCAUGGUCGCAAAUCUCGCCAUCACGAUGAUAAAUGCAAAUCUCAUCUCAAAGACCAAGAACGCAUUUGCGCAAGCUUUUGCCCCUUCUUACAGUCUUGCUCUCGCCUAAUCGCUUGAGCCAUCAGACUCUUGAUUCUCGAUAGAGAAGUUCUGGUGUCAUAACAUCGAGACGCUGCGAAGGGAUUUUUUUCUUUCCCCUUCAAAGCGUAUUGCAAAAGGAAAAAAUGCUUGAGGAUUUUGUCCGCUUUCUACCUCUCGCAUUCAUACAAAGCUGACUACGCUUGUAGAGUAUUUUGGAAAAACAUAACUGGACAUGGGUGCAAUUCCCAUCAACUCCACAU